ensembl:processed_transcript
AAACAAACACGUCAGUCCAGUCAGUCGGUCAGUCAUUCAGAAACUCAGAGAGGGCUUGUUCAGCUUCAGCCUCUGGAAGAACAGAAACACCACUGAAAGCAGACAUGCAUCCUGUACUGAUCGGCAUCGUAACUGCCAACACCAGUUUAACCAUCAUCUACUGGAACUUCCUUCUGUCUCAGGUUUUCUGCAAGAAGCUCAAGGAUGCGCCUGAACCUGAGGAAAUCCCAGUCUGAGACAUACGUUUGCUUUUUCACACAGACUGAGACCUUGACCAUAAGAAGAAAAAGAAGAUGAUGACGAAGAAGAGGAAAGCUAAUCCUUGGAAGCAGGAUGAAAAAGAGAAAAUGUAACAAAAAGGAACAGACUGAUAUUUGACUGAAGAAUAUCUGCCAUUUAUAUCUACUGUAUUAACAUGAUGUCACUGAAUACAAUCCCUCAUCUUUCAUCCACUAGUCAAACUCUAACUCUUUAUUACAGUCUUAAAAUCAAUCAUGGCUGCUCAUUUCCAUCAAAACAAGGAGCACGAAAGCACCAAGCUUAUAAUUUGUUGUAAAUCUGUAGCAAAAUGUGUUUGUAAUUUUGUAUGUUUUCUAACUAUAUUUAGCAAAGUAGCUGCCCAUGUUUUGUGAAUCUUUGUGGCUUUCUUAGACAUGCCCAAUUCCCUCGACAAUAAUAAAUGAGUAUAAUAUAGAGAG